GACGAACGCUGGCGGCGUGCCUAACACAUGCAAGUCGAACGGAAAGGCCCUGCUUUUGUGGGGUGCUCGAGUGGCGAACGGGUGAGUAACACGUGAGUAACCUGCCCUUGACUUUGGGAUAACUUCAGGAAACUGGGGCUAAUACCGGAUAGGAGCUCCUGCUGCAUGGUGGGGGUUGGAAAGUUUCGGCGGUUGGGGAUGGACUUGGGGCUUAUCAGCUAGUUGGGGGGGUAGUGGCCUACCAAGGCUUUGACGGGUAGCCGGCCUGAGAGGGUGACCGGCCACCUGGGAGGGGAGCCAGGGACCAUACGACUACGGUAGGGCCCAGUCGGCAACAUGAGGCAACGGUGGAAAACCUUACACAGUGGGGCGAAGCGUGUUGCGACAGCCCCGCGUGCGGAAAGACGGCCUACGGGUUAUAAACCGCUGUCGCCUGUGACGUAGCGGUAGUGACGGUAAUGGGUAAAGAAGCACCGGCUAACUACGUG
rnacentral:rRNA from 1 species